GGAAGAGACGAGGCAGGAAGAAACUCCUGGUCCUUUCGCUUUUAAGGAACGUGCCACCUAGACAAGUGUUCCAGCCUCCGGUGAACCAGUCUUCCUAGUGAGAGCACGAGAAGCCCGUUGUCCUUCAUUCCUCAGCUAUGGAUUUCCCUGAAAGUUGAGAACUGACCAUAUUCUCGAUGCCUCCUCCGACCUGUGAUUUCAUGACUCACAUCGCUUCCCCAGAACCUGCUUAACAGACGGGAUUCCUGAGAAUGGAGCAGAGUUUGAAUUCAGAGUCCUGGCUUUGCCAUACCAGCAGUUAUAAUUGUCCUUCUGUUGUUUGAUGACCUCCCUGCCCUGCUUCAAAAGGAAGAGAAAUCAAAGAGUUGACGACCCUGAGCGCAAGGCCUGGGACGUUCUUCCCCAAACUCGCUUUAAUAUCACCUUCUCAAAAGAACUCUUCCCUGAACACCUUGUCUCAAGAUGUUCUCUAGUUUGUCUUCUUGUUCUGUCAUUUAUUUGUCUGUUCAUUGUUUGUGUGUUUUUUGAGGCGGAGUCUAGCUCUGUCGCCUAGGCUGGAGUGCAGUGGCACGAUCUCGGCUCUCUGCAACCUCUGCCUCCUGGGUUCAAAGCGAUUCUUGUACCUCAGCCUCCCAAGUAGCUGGGAUUACAGGCGUGUACCACCAUGCCCGGCUAAUUUUUGUAUUUUCAGUGGAUACGGGGUUUCAUCAUGUUGGCCAAGCUGGGCUCUAACUCCUGACCUCAGGGGAUCUGCAUUUGAGGAUAAACCCUGUCUUGGCUCCUCCCUGACGGGGGUGAGAAGUAGCCCUCCUGGAAUUGCCUCAAAGCCCCCGGUUAUCACCAGUGUUCUCGGUUGCAAAUUACGAAACAUAAAUAAACUCAGACUAACAGAUGCAGCAAAGGAAUUUAUCAGGAAGGAAUGGGGAGCUCCCAGAACUGAUGGGAAGGCUGGAGAACCAGGCUCAGAAAAUGCACUGAAGUGGUGAGCGCAGAGGCUUGAAUGUUGCCAGGACUCUCCUCCCAGUCCUUUAUCUCUUCUCUCUGUAUGCGAGCUUUUCUCCUCAAGGCUAGGCACCUGGCUGCAGCAGCGCUCACCACUCACAACUCUCACCCGUUCCACCGGAGAGAGACUGAGGAUUUCUGCUUCUGGUCUGAAGGACAAAAUUUUAGGGAAAAACUUUGAUUGGUCCAACAUAGGUAAGUCCCCGUCCCUAGACCAAUCAUCUAUGGGUGGAAAACCAGGUGCUGUGACUGGCCCAACUUAAGCCAGGUGCCAUUCUCUAACCAAUACUGUGAAUAAGGAAGUGGGACGUACAGGGAGAUGGCAGCCCCAUCGGAACCAUAUGGUCAGAGAAAGAUGCAUUUCCCAAAAGAUGGAGUUCAUGCUCUGGGGCAGAUUGAAUAAUAGAUUUUCACUACACCUGCCCCAGAGUUACCCCCAACCAAUACAUUACUUACUGCCCAACUCUCAUCAUUCCUUCUCUGCUCAAAACCCUUCAAUGGGCUGGGCGCGGUAACUCACGCCUGUAAUCCCAGUACUUUGGGAGACCGAGGUGGGGGGGAUUACUUGAGGUCAGGAGUUCAAGACCGGCCUGGGCAACAUGGUGAAACCCCAUCUCUACUAAAAAUAUAAAAAUUAACCGGGCGUGGUGGCAGGCACCUGUA
rnacentral:lncRNA from 1 species